GCCAGACUCCUACGGGAGGCAGCAGUGGGGAAUAUUGGGCAAUGGGCGCAAGCCUGACCCAGCAACGCCGCGUGAAGGAAGAAGGCUUUCGGGUUGUAAACUUCUUUUGUCAGGGAAGAGUAGAAGACGGUACCUGACGAAUAAGCCACGACUAACUACGUGCCAGCAGCCGCGGUAAUACGUAGGUGGCAAGCGUUGUCCGGAUUUACUGGGUGUAAAGGGCGUGUAGCCGGGUUGACAAGUCAGAUGUGAAAUCCUGCGGCUUAACCGCAGAACUGCAUUUGAAACUGUUGAUCUUGAGUACUGGAGAGGCAGACGGAAUUCCUAGUGUAGCGGUGAAAUGCGUAGAUAUUAGGAAGAACACCAGUGGCGAAGGCGGAUGACUGGACGACAACUGACGGUGAGGCGCGAAAGCGUGGGGAGCAAACAGGAUUAGAUACCCGCGUAC
rnacentral:rRNA from 1 species